UCAUAUGCUUGUCUCAAAGCUUAAGCCAUGCAAGUGUAAGUUCAUGCCGUAAACGAAUGGUGAAACCGCGAAUGGCUCAGGAACCGGACCUAAUCCUCGGGACCGUAUUCCUCACCGCGAGGAGAGUGGAUAACUGUGGCAAUUCUAGAGCUAAUACAUGCAACUGAAGCCGCGAUCGCAGGUCGCACCCGGGAGUCGGAAUAAAAACAGCGUUCGGUGUACGUCGGUGUGCGUGGUCGGCGUCGUUCGGCUUCGUCUCCGCGGCCGUUCGUUGCCGUCUUCCCGCUCGGCCGUCUUCCCGACGGUCGCGAUGAUACGGUCGGCCUUCCGCAUUGGUCGCGGCGCAAAUAUUAGACUGAGACCGACGCGUUCAAGCCGUCGCAGCAGCCGCCGGAACCGCUCAUCCGAGUGGCGACGGGUCAAGGCGUGCGGCGUCACGCCCUUCGAUUUUGGUGACUCUGGAUAACUGUUAGUACGAUCGCACGGGCUAGAAUCGUCUAGCCUUCGCGCGACGGGUCCCCCGCGAGUCCGCCCUAUCAACUGUCGACGGCCCGGUAAGUGCCGACCGUGGUGGCAACGGGUAACGGGGAAUCAGGGUUCGAUUCCGGAGAGGGAGCAUGCGAAACGGCUACCACAUCCAAGGAAGGCAGCAGGCGCGCAAAUUACCCACUCCCGGCACGGGGAGGUAGUGACGAAAAAUAACGACGCGGGACUCUGUCGAGGCCCCGCGAUCGGAAUGAGUACACUUCAAAUCCGUUAACGAGGAUCGACCGGAGGGCAAGUCUGGUGCCAGCAGCCGCGGUAAUUCCAGCUCCGGUAGCGUAUAUUAAAAUUGUUGCGUUUGAAAAGCUCGUAGUCGGAAUUCGGGUCUCGAAAACGUGCCCCAGCACGUUCGGGGCGACGGCGCCGUCGUAGGCGUGUGCCUUGCGCGCGCGUCCGCUUCGGUUGUCCGUUCGCACUCCCGGCCCUAUUCGCCGGUGCGUGCGCGGUCGGGCCGCAGAGCUCUGCGCGCAUCGCCGCGUCGUUUACGCUUCUUUUCGCCGUGCGGCUGUGUGGUCUCGUGUGUUUUCUUCGUGUGGGGGGAUACGCGGGCGCGUGCUUUAUUGCUCGGCGUCGUUUGGUGGUGCGUGCUAACGCGCGUUGCCGUCUCUGCGGCGUCGUCUCCAUUGCGCGUUUGCCUUCGUGUUUUUUUCCGCGUUGAUUUCCUCGAGGUUCCCGCGCUGUCGUUGGCGUUUGGUCGCUGCUUCGCGGUCGCGUGUCCAUCUCUCGGUGUUCAGCCGACCCGCACGGUUCCUCCGAGGGUGCUCUUUACCGAGUGUCCGAGGCGGCCGGUACGUUCACUGUGAAAAAAUUAGAGUGCUCAGAGCGAGCCCCGCCGGCUUGCAUACGAAAAGCAUGGAAUGAUGGAAAAUGGCCUCGUCCGCGCGUCAUCCGUCGGUCUCCGUUCACGACGAGGCAAUGAUCGAAGGGAGCGAUCGGGGCCACUCGUAUUGCGACGUUAGAGGUGAAAUUCUUGGAUCGUCGCAAGACGCACUGCAGCGACGGCGUGUGGCAAGCACGUUUUCCUCGAUCAAGAGCGAAAGUCGGAGGUUCGAAGACGAUCAGAUACCGUCGUAGUUCCGACCGUAAACGAUGCCGACUGGCGCUCCGCCGGCGUUCGCUUCGAUGACCCGGCGGGGAGCCUGCGCGGGAAACCAUAGUCGGUUCCGGGGGGAGUAUGGUUGCAAAACAGAAACUUAAAGGAAUUGACGGAAGGGCACCACCAGGAGUGGAGCCUGCGGCUUAAUUUGACUCAACACGGGAAAACUCACCCGGUCCGGACACCGGUAGGAUUGACAGAUCGAUAGCUCUUUCUCGAUUCGGUGGGUGGUGGUGCAUGGCCGUUCUUAGUUGGUGGAGCGAUCCGUCUGGUUGAUUCCGAUAACGAACGAGACUCCGGCCUGCUAACUAGCGCGCCGAUUAGUGCUUUUCCGGUAGCGUGGCGGCGCCGAAGCCGUCGUCGGCAGCUCUGCGCGCGGUGCGAGCUAGCUGUUGCUGCUGCCGUUCUUUCCGCGGUUGGCGUUGCGGCCUGCUUCUUCUCGCACUACUCGUGUGGGUCGGGGUGGUUGUGGCGUCGGUUGCGGGGCGGCGGCGGUGAUCCGUUGGCUCUGCCCGCGCGAGCCCGGCGUCGGCACGCCGUCGCGUCCGGGCCAGUCGGUUGGCGAACGCAGCGCUUCUUAGAGGGACGGGCGGCAGAAAGCCGCACGAGGCGGAGCAAUAACAGGUCUGUGAUGCCCUUAGAUGUCCGGGGCCGCACGCGCGCUACACUGGAGGUAUCAGCGGGCGCGUCUCCCCCGGCCCGAGAGGGUCGGGAAACCUCUGAACCACCUCCCGUGAUAGGGAUCGGGGCCUGGAACCAACCCCGUGAACGAGGAAUUCCCGGUAGGCGCGGGUCAUCAGCCCGCGUCGAUCACGUCCCUGCCCUUUGUACACACCGCCCGUCGCUACUACCGAUCGAACGGUCCGGUGAGGUCCUCGGAUCUGGCCGACGAGUUCGCAGGCCGUGCGGCGGUGUUUCGUGCCGAUCGGUCUCGUAUCGGCCGGUUCGUAGCCGUCGUCGGUGCGCUCUCUGAUGGCCCGGAGAAGACGACCGAACCCGAUCGCUUAGAGGAAGUAAAAGUCGUAACAAGGUUUCC
rnacentral:rRNA from 1 species